UACGAAGGGGGCUAGCGUUGUUCGGAAUCACUGGGCGUAAAGCGCACGUAGGCGGUUUGUUAAGUCGGGGGUGAAGUCCUGAGGCUCAACCUCAGAACUGCCUUCGAUACUGGCGAUCUUGAGUCCGGAAGAGGUUGGUGGAACAGCUAGUGUAGAGGUGAAAUUCGUAGAUAUUAGCUAGAACACCAGUGGCGAAGGCGGCCAACUGGUCCGGAACUGACGCUGAGAUGCGAAAGCGUGGGGAGCAAACAGG
rnacentral:rRNA from 1 species